GAUGCCUCUGUCUAAUAAAGAGAGGCAGAGACUGUUCAGAGCCAGGAUAAACACAGAUGCAGACGCUAGCGCUGAGUAUCUUGCAAAAAAGAGAGCAAGCUACUACAAAUCAAGCCCAGUUCCCAAAAAGCCUGUUGUACAGCAGAUGACCCCUUCUGCUGCAAAGAAGAAAAGGGAGCAGUGGAGGGUAAACCAGAGGAACUGGAGGGAAAGAUUAAAGCAGAUCAAUGAAUUAAUGAACGACACUCCUGUCUCAAUGAAUGAGUCUAAUCUUGAAGAACCCCAACCCAGAGAGCCAGAUGACCCUCAAGAGAAUCUCCAGCCACUUGCUUCUUCUUCCCCAGAAAGAAAUGGCAAUGUGCGAACAAAAAAUGCAAACAAAAAUAAACUAAAGAAUGAAAUAGUCAAACUUAAAAGGCAACUUGCUCUGUCAAACAAAAAAAAUGAGAAACUAAGAAAACGUCUGCAAAGGGUUAACAAAACAAAAGUAGUGCACGUCAAUGAGAAACGGAAGUCACGGGGAGCCAAGAAGUUUGCUGCAAGAAAGUUCAAAGAAGAGUCCUACAAAAACCAAUGAAAGAGUUACAUUUACAAUACAAUAAAGAAACCCAAAAGGAACUCACACUGUCAUACAGACAGUUUGUGUGCUUACCUCCCUUCUACAUAACAGAACCUAAAACAAGUGAUCGCAACACAUGCGCCUGUCUUGACCACGAAAACGUCCAGAUGCUUGUGGAGAAACUAUUUCAAAGUGGCUUUGUAAAAGUGGCAAGGAUUUCAGAGUUGUUGGCAUCCAUCGUGUGUGAUCCUCUAGGAAAGGAUUGUAUGUAUCGUGCCUGUGUUAAGUGCUGUUACAAAGAAGUGGAAAUAAAAUCCUCAAGAACAGAACAACACCACCACAUGGCUACAGUGGGAAAGUGUCAAGUUACCCAGUAUAGAAAUAAGCGCAACUUCUAUCUCCUGACCACACUACCGUUUAUUUUGGGGUUCAAGGAGGUGACCUGGAAUUUCUCUGAGAAAGCCCAUGGUAAGGGUGCACCAGAUGGCGUGGGUGGCGCUGUAAAGCGGACAGCUGAUCAGAGGGUGAAAAUGGGUGCUGAUAUUCAGACACCAAAAGAGCUCUAUGAAGCUUUACAGAGCACAGCCUCUGCAAUCAAGUACGUUUGGGUGUCAGCAGAGGACAUCCUAAAACAUGAUGAAGCUGUACCGGAGAAGCUGCCUGUUGUGAAGGGCAAAAUGAAGAUUCACCAGAUUGUGUCUCUUACCCCUG
ensembl:lncRNA